ensembl:lncRNA
AUUGAUUUUAACACACAGACCAUUUUUAACAUUGAGAAAGGGAUCAUCAAGAAACAGUUCCCAUUUUCACAAGUUAAAUCCUAUGAAGACAGUGAAGGGAGGCGCUUCAGCAUCGCAUUUCAUGGGCGUGCAGAUUAUGAGCUGGAAGCAAUGUCUCUUGAAGAUAAAAGAAAAAUAUCACACCUGGUGAACAAAGUUACCCAGAGUAAUUCAUACAGGAGACCUGCAGAGUCCUGCUCUGGAAGACCUGCCAAAUGUGAUGUGAUACAUGAAGGACUACUGGAUUUGCAGCAAGACAGUUUUGUAUCUAUUAAAUGGGUGAAAUAUUUGGUGCAGCUAAGUGAAGGAGAACUGAGUUUAUCUUGCAUCGACAACAAUGGAGAGAACAAGAAUGCAGACCCUGUAGCAAAGACAAUUAAUUUGUCAAAUGGAAAUGUGAGUGUCAUUAAAGAGAAUGGAUAUGAUACUUUCUCCGUCCAGACCAAGGAACACAAUUACUUGUUUCGAAUACCCUUUACUGUCCAGAAUAACAGGGCAGAGGACAUUAGCAAGCUCCAGAAUGAAUGGGUAUCGCUUAUAGACAGGUAUUGCCUGCUGUGGAAGAAUCGCUCAGAACCUCAGGAAGGCUUUGGAGAAGGCACCUCAGAGGCUGUAUAUGAAAAACUCAUCAUCGCUCCAAAUAAGCAGGCAGAAGGAGCCCAUUGCCUUGCUGUGGGUUACGAAGCACCACCCCGAUCAACCCCCCUCACAGAGGAGGCAACCCCAGCAUCAUCAUUUCCGCUUUCCAGAGUUCAGGCAGUGGUGCCACCACCACCUGCUUUCCCUCCGCCCGCCCGCCUCUCGCCAGCAUGGAAAAGAACAAAAGCUUUUCACUGGGAUGUUGUUCCUCAAGAGAAGAUUCAGAAAUCAAUCUGGGCAUCAUGUAGCCAACAUAAGAAAAAAAUAGAUGAAUCUAGAAUCUACAACCAGUUUCAUAUCCAGGACAUGGCGGUAUUUUCAGGCAACGAACCUUCAGUGAAUCGGCAUAUUAUGUUAAAUCAAAAAAUUGCACAUACCUUCAGUAAGUGUAAUAAUAUGAACUGUGUGCACAUAUU